rnacentral:sRNA from 1 species
GCCAACCGUGGUAACGCGUGCCUGCAAGUCCCAGCUACUUGGGAGGCUGAGAUAGAAGGAUCACUUGAGUCCAGGAGAUCUGGGCUGUAGCGCGCUAUGCAGAUCGGGUUUCCACACCAAGUUUGGCAUCCAUGUGGUGGCCUACUGGGGGCAGGGGAGCACCAGGUUGCCUAAAGAGGGGUGGGCUGCCCCUGUCAGAAACGGAGCAGGUCCAAACUCCCAUGCUGGGGCUGGAGAAAUGGCUUAGUGGUUAAGGCGCUUGUCUGCAAAGCCAAAGGAGCCA